rnacentral:lncRNA from 1 species
GUGGAGGUAGAAGGAACUUAAAUUUGAGUUUAGCUUACAUUGUUAUGUGAUCUGGUUUUUGUAUUUGAAUGUAGUUCACAGUUCUGGAGACAUCUAAGGUUGGACAGCUGUAACUGCUCAAUUUGGGUCUCACAGUGAUCUGUGGUACAGAGCUAGAAAGGCACACAGUGGUGCAAAAAAAAUAAAGGUGCUAAACUUCCAAGAUAGCGAAUUCAUUUCCUCAAGAAAAGCAUUCUAAAGGCUGGAGAGAUGGUUUAGUAAUUAAGUGAAUAUUGGUCUUGCGGAUCAACAGCCUUUAACUCAGUUCCAGGGAAUUGGAUACCUCUGACUUCCGACUUACCUUCACUCACUUGCACACGUACAUAAUAAAAAAAUCGUAAAACAUGCUUUGUCACUGUUGCAAAUAUCUGAAAUAAAGAUCUUAGAAAAGUCUGUUUGGUGUGCUGACCCAUAGCCUUAAUCUCAGUCCUUUGAGGAAGAGUCGGGUGUAUCUCUGGGUUUAAAGGCAGCCUGGUCUAUGUAAACUUGUCACAAAGCAAAGAACAAAACAAAAACAGAAACUUGGAGGGCUCAUUUUGGUUUUGGAAGUUUCAAUCCACAGUUGAACAUCCAUUGAUAUAGGGCCUGUGAUAAGUCAGUACAUUGUAGAAGCAGGAGGACACAGCAGCUCAUCUUACUGCAGCCAGAAAAUGGGGAAAAAAAAAAAAAGAGGAGGAGGAAGAAAUCCCAUCACCUCCUUCAAGGGCGUACACCCCUCACUUAGAGUCUCCUGUAUGGGCCAGUGCGUUGGCACAGCAGGGAAAGGCUCUUGCUGCACAAGUCUGGUGACUUGUGUUAGGCUUCCAGAGGCCACCUGAAGGUAGGAGAGAACUGACUCCACAAAAUGUUUUCUGAUCUUCACACAUGCACCCACACAUGUGCAUGUAUAUGCCCAGUAUACACACACAUACACACCAGAAACCUUGUGCAAGCCUUCUCUCCCUUCCCACUCUAUUGUCUUGUAUUGGCGAUGGUCGUAUGCAGCAAUGCCUGCCUUGCGCUCACUGUUGAGAUCGGGCUAUUCCCUACUAUGAGUCACCCCAUGUUGUUUAAAACUGGUUUUCAGCCUGGGUUGCCCUGAGAGCAUUUAUAAGCAGCUUUUGACUUGAUUUUGAAAUUGAAGGAUCUUGCUCUGGAUGCACAAGUAAACACCACCAUCUUUCAACAGUAGGGGUAGGCACCGCCCAUGCAGCACAGGCUGGUUAAUGGCAGACUCCUGGAAGAAGAGAGGGGGCCAGCCUAUGAAUUUAUUGGGGUGAGUGGAGACAUUGGGAGCAUGUGGGUAGAUUAAAAUCAUAUCAAACAAAUUAGACGCAAGAACUUAUCUGACAUAAGUCAGCCUAGGGAAAGGGUCCUCAACCAGGACCCCAAAAAGUGUGAGACACCUAGCACUUAAGUGGUGAUGACCCACCUCCUCUAUCAUCUGAUGCUUGGGUGUGUAUCAAGGUCCACAGAAAGACAGAAUUCUGAACUGUUCCUGGGGCCUCUGAGUCUUGGUCCACUGCUGUUGACAUGAGCUGCCUGCCUGCUGCCAUCCAUCCAUCUGUACCUGAACUGAUCUUAGACCUGGUCUGCCUUUGGCCUUGGUGCUGGAACUCUGCAGCUUUCCCUUGAACACUGUCAACAGCAGCUUCUUUCCCAUUGUCUUAGUCACUGUAACUGAGGCAACUCGUAGAAAGCAUUUCAUUGGGACUUGUAUGCAAUUUCAGAAGUUUAGUCUGUUAUCGUCAUGGUGGAGAGCAUGGUGGCAUGCAGUUCAUGUAUGAUUCUGGAGAAGUGACUUAGUUCUACGUCCAGAUCUGUAGGCAGCAGGAUUCUUCCAGUGACUGGGCCUGGCUUGGGCUUUUGAAACUGCAAAGCCCAGUCCCAGUUGUGCAGUUCCUCCAACAAAACCAUCCCUGCUAAUCCUUGAGUAUUACUACUCUCUGGUGACUAAGCAUUCAAUAUAUGAACUAGUCUUGGUCAAACCACCACACCAGUGGUUCAUUAUGCUAUACAGAUUCUCCUUGCAUUCUCUCAGCUCACUUUAACUCUGUUACAGCCUCCUUAAUGUGUUUUUUCUUUUUCUUUUUUUAAGAUUUAUUUAUUUUAUGUAAGUGAAUACACAUCAGAUCCCAUUACAGAUGAUUGUGAGCUACCAUGUUGUUGCUGGGAAUUGAACUCAGGAUCUCUGAAAGAGCAGUCAGUACUCUUAACCACUGAGCCAUCUCUCCAGCCCAAUAUUUUUUUUCUGUAAACUAAAUAUAUGUAUAUAUGUAAUGUAUGUAUGCAUGUCACUUGGAAGGCAAAAGUGAGCAGAGUUUGAGGCCAGCCUGAACAACAUAGACCACAUCUCC